AAUGACAUGAGGGUUAGUAAAUGAUGACAGAAUUUUAAUUUUAGGGUGAGCUAUCUCUUUUAAGUUGAGAAUAUUACAUUUGUUGUAUUUUUAAAUGUAGCUAAACCAUUAACCUGUUAUUCACACAUAAAAAAAUUAAUUGGUAGUAUUCCUUAGAAUAGAUCAUCAAACGAGUUCAACUGUCUACUUCAUUCAGAUCAUUCAAACACUUCUAAUGACAGUAAGCAACACAAACCCCCCAAAACUCUAAUUUAAGAUAAUAAUUAAAAGUCUUCAAAAUAAGGUCAUAGGUGUUUUUUCAUUUUAAUUUUGGUUAUAAAAUAUUGGAGAUAGCUUUUACUAGAUCUAAAACAACAACAUUUACAAUUUACAUACAAAAUUUAACACAAUCCCACACUUCCUUUUAGCCUGUGUAGUGGCAUAGAGCUCUUCAUUCCAAUUAAAGCCUCAGUACAUGUACUUUUAGCGUUUUAGUCAGCCUUCUAAUCCUUACAGUUAAUUAGCUUCUAAGUUCUGUUCAUUUGAAUUGUAACGUUGUAAAAAGUUAAGUUGUGAUGAUUUUUUAGAACCUUGGGAACAUAAUUGACUGUGACUGUCAAUGUUAGGGUCUCCUAGGUUCCAACUGAAUUGUCUUAGCAUUUUGUCCUAAUGAUAGAAAGAAACAGAACAAAAAUGAUUAGAUGAAUGUAGAAAAUCAUAGAACUGAUAAUUUAGCUCUGCAGUAAACCUCAUUGAUUAUAGACAGGCUCAACCAGAGGCUUAUUGUGGGAGGGUGUUGAAUUUCUUAGUUUAAAUUAUGAUGGGUGUCCAAAAGUUAUGAUUGCAUAAGGUUGUUUUUCUUUUUCUUUCUGCUUCUUGGGACUGUUAGAAUUUCCUCUUUUACACUGAUAUUGUUAAUACUGGUAUACAUGUGGUCACUUUAUAAAGAUAAAGACAAACAAGAAUUUUCUAUACAAACAUAGAUUUCUGCUUAUGAACAUGUAUAGAAUUUACAUUUAGAAAGGUAUUUAAAAAAAUUGAUGGUCUAUUCAAAUUUCACAGUACAAUUAAAGAAACAUUGGUUUUUAUUUUAUGUUUUGCCUGUAUGGCUGUUGGCAUGUCUCAUUUUAAAGGCUGCGCCAUCUGAAGGCCACAUUUAUCAGCCACAUACGUCAUUGAGGCUGCCUUAUUUCAGAAAAGUAACCAUUACAUUCCAAAUUAAAAGAGAAAUUACAAUAAUUCAUGCCUCACGGGGAAUAACAGUUAAUUUUAUAAUUACUUUUCUGAACUGAGACAUCCUUGAUGACGUAGGUGGCUGACAAAUGCGACUUCAUGAGGGUGCAGCCUUUGAAAUGAGACAGCUUUCAUAAUGAGUACAGAUGUGACGCAUAGUUUGACCAAAAUCUGCUCACUGCAAAAAGGUUUGGGCACUGGCUAACGUUAAAAUCCAUUUGCAUUAACAUAUAACUGAAACAAUUGUGAUAAUUCAUUUCUAUAACAUUUUACUACUUCGUUUUCAGUUACACAUUGUCAGAAUAACGUGUCAGUGAUGAUAGUAAUAACCAGCUGUCUCGGUCUCUAAUGUUUCCUCCUGUAUCUUUACCACAGUUCUGACUGACUGGCUUGUCUUCAGAUGCUUUGGAAUGGGCCUGGUAACUUGGUAACCGUAGGUCUCCAUGGUGGACAGAUCUGAGUAUCUGCCGAGUAAUGAAUGCACAGUUGUCUUCAGAUGAAACUUAAGACGGUUUGUUAUUGAUUAAAAGCCUUUGUUACCUACAGCUGAACAAGCAUAUUUAUUAAUUUUAUAAUGCAUGUGAUUUGAGAUAUUCUACACUUUUUUUUUAUGUGCUGUUGUGUCCACAGAACAUCAGUGUUGCACUGUGGGCAUCUAUUCAUCAAUAAAUUAAACAUGAAAAUAGUGCAGUAUCUCCUCUUGGCAAAAAUGUCUGUAAGUACCAGCGCAUUUUUAAGCUAAGCAGUCAUUUUGGUUGAAAUAUUUUAGAAUAAGUAGGUUUAUAUUUACCAUUGCUGUGUGCUACAUGCAGUGUUCUUAAUAAAGAUAUCUGUUACACCACUGUGCAAUAUUUUGAUGUUACUCAUGAAAAGAAUGAAUGUGUGAUUUUAAAUGACAACAAAUCUUAAUAUGAAAAUGCUUUUUUUUUUUCAUGCACUAAUAUUAUACACUAAUAAUAAUCAAUCAAUGGUCAAUGGACUUCAGACAGUGCUGUUUCAAAGAUUAUAUUAUCUAUUUUCUGUUUUGCAGAUAAACUAUUUUCUUUUAUAUUUUCCUCAUAAUUUACAUAAAAUCUCCCAGUGAUUAACAAAUGUUUUACAGGAAACCCAGUGGCUGUCAAAUGUACUGCUGGCUUUAAUCACAGUCUUGUAGAUCUUGACAAUUGUGAACAUUGUCAACAAAACAAAUAAUAAAAAAAAUAACACUCAGGCUAGCAUCAUGUUAUGACAAUUUUCCACAAGUACAAAAUCACUAACAGUACAGUAUAAAUGGUGAAGUCUGUCAGUGACAUUAAUAGUGUUAUUCUGUCCCCUUAACUGUCUUUAAGGCUAGAUUUAGAGUUCAAAACAAUUUAUAGAAAUUUUCCAAAACACCAACCCAUGUCUCAAAAA